GGGCCCGCACAAGCGGUGGAGCAUGUGGUUUAAUUCGAUGCAACGCGAAGAACCUUACCAGGGCUUGACAUACUACAGAUUCUUUUGAAAAAGAGAAGUGCCUUCGGGAAUGUAGAUACAGGUGGUGCAUGGCUGUCGUCAGCUCGUGUCGUGAGAUGUUGGGUUAAGUCCCGCAACGAGCGCAACCCUUAUUUUUAGUUACCAAUUCGUUGGGUUUUUUAGAAAGACUGCCGGUGACAAACCGGAGGAAGGUGAGGAUGACGUCAAGUCAGCAUGCCCCUUAUGUCCUGGGCCACACACGUGCUACAAUGGUUAAGACAAAGAGUCGCGAGCUCGUGAGAGCCAGCUAAUCUAAUAAACUUAGCCUAAGUUCAGAUUGUAGGCUGCAACUCGCCUGCAUGAAGUUGGAAUCGCUAGUAAUCG
rnacentral:rRNA from 1 species